rnacentral:rRNA from 1 species
UGGGUAACCUGCCCAAGAGAUCGGGAUAACACCUGGAAACAGAUGCUAAUACCGGAUAACAACAGAUGAUGCCUAUCAACUGUUUAAAAGAUGGUUCUGCUAUCACUCUUGGAUGGACCUGCGGUGCAUUAGCUAGUUGGUAGGGUAACGGCCUACCAAGGCGAUGAUGCAUAGCCGAGUUGAGAGACUGAUCGGCCACAUUGGGACUUAGACACGUCCCAAACUCCUACGGGAGGCAGCAGGU